rnacentral:rRNA from 1 species
UACGGAGGAUGCGAGCGUUAUCCGGAUUUAUUGGGUUAAAGGGUGCGUAGGCGGUCCGUUAAGUCAGCGGUAAAAUUGCGGGGCUCAACCCCGUCGAGCCGUUGAAACUGGCAGACUUGAGUUGGCGAGAAGUAUGCGGAAUGCGUGGUGUAGCGGUGAAAUGCAUAGAUAUCACGCAGAACUCCGAUUGCGAAGGCAGCAUACCGGCUCUCAACUGACGCUCAGGCACGAAAGCGUGGGUAGGUCGA